AUUGAACGCUGGCGGAAUGCUUUACACAUGCAAGUCGAACGGUAGAGGGGGCAACCCCUUGAGAGUGGCGAACGGGUGAGUAAUAUAUCGGAACGUGCCCAGUCGUGGGGAUAACGUAGCGAAAGUUACGCUAAUACCGCAUACGAUCUAAGGAUGAAAGCGGGGGAUCGCAAGACCUCGCGCGAUUGGAGCGGCCGAUAUCAGAUUAGGUAGUUGGUGAGGUAAAGGCUCACCAAGCCAACGAUCUGUAGCUGGUCUGAGAGGACGACCAGCCACACUGGAACUGAGACACGGUCCAGACUCCUACGGGAGGCAGCAGUGGGGAAUUUUGGACAAUGGACGCAAGUCUGAUCCAGCCAUUCCGCGUGUGUGAAGAAGGUCUUCGGAUUGUAAAGCACUUUAAGUUGGGAGGAAGGGUAGUAACCUAAUACGUUGCUACUUUGACGUUACCGACAGAAUAAGCACCGGCUAACUUCGUGCCAGCAG
rnacentral:rRNA from 1 species